GACGAACGCUGGCGGCGUGCUUAACACAUGCAAGUCGAACGGAAAGGCCCUGCUUUUGUGGGGUGCUCGAGUGGCGAACGGGUGAGUAACACGUGAGUAACCUGCCCUUGACUUUGGGAUAACUUCAGGAAACUGGGGCUAAUACCGGAUAGGAGCUCCUGCUGCAUGGUGGGGGUUGGACAGUUUCGGCGGUUGGGGAUGGACUCGCGGCUUAUCAGCUUGUUGGUGGGGUAGUGGCUUACCAAGGCUUUGACGGGUAGCCGGCCUGAGAGGGUGACCGGCCACAUUGGGACUGAGAUACAGCCCAGACUCCUACGGGAGGCAGCAGUGGGGAAUAUUGCACAAUGGGCGGAAGCCUGAUGCAGCAACGCCGCGUGCGGGAUGACGGCCUUCGGGUUGUAAACCGCUUUCACCUGUGACGAAGCGUGAGUGACGGUAAUGGGUAAAGAAGCACCGGCUAACUACGUG
rnacentral:rRNA from 1 species